AAAAAAAGAAUAUUUUAUUAAAUAAUAAAAUAAAAAAAUAAAUUUUCUUAAAAAGGAGAUUAGCUUAACUUGCCUAAUUACAUUUUGAAUUUAUAUUAUAGGCCCACUCUCUCCAACAUCACGAAGAGGAUGAAUUAUGAGGAAGGAAAAGGACUUAGAAAGAACCAAUAAGGCAUCAUAGAGCUACCUUAGAUCCACACUUAAAGGGACCGACUACGCUUAGGAUAUAAAUUUGGAAGCACGCCAAAGAGAACAUAUGACUAGUUGGACAUGGCUGGACGAAUCAUCCGUUCGAAUGUUAAUGAUAUUUUGGGAGUUAAGCCGAAGAAGCUUGAGGAAGAGAAAGAAUAGAAAGAAGAAGAGAAGUCACUCGAGAAAGAGGGGGUUGAGGAGACACAAGCGGCCGAGGAGGAAAGAAAGAAAACCAGAAGAGGGGCAAGUUGCCUAGGACGAAAGGAAGGAAGAAUAGAAUAAAGUGAAGGUGAGCGCGAAAGAAGAAGAGGACCGAUCAUGUGUUACAAGCGAUCCGGGCCUGCAUAGAAGAGGGCUUUGAAGAAGCUGAAGUUCCUUCUAAUGUGUUGAUUUCUAUUAGUGAUGAGUUUGACUGUAAUGAACUUUUUAUGCUAUUUAAUGAAAUAAACUUCAAUUUUGCUUA